UUUAUGGAGAGUUUGAUCCUGGCUCAGAGUGAACGCUGGCGGCGUGCCUAAUACAUGCAAGUCGAACGAUGAAGC
rnacentral:rRNA from 1 species